AGUCGGACUUGUKUCCCACGCUGCCGGUUCACCGCCCGUCGGUGUUUAACUGGCAUGCACGUGCGGACGUCCUGCCGGUGGCCCGAGCCGGCGCGGGUCUCGCACCCGUUGUCCGGGGAAGGCCUAUCAUACCCGUCGCGGUGCUCUUAACCGAGUGUCUCGAUGGGCCGGCACGUUUACUUUGAACAAAUUAGAGUGCUUAAAGCAGGCAGCAUCCGCCUGAAUACCGAGUGCAUGGAAUAAUGGAAUAGGACCUCGGUUCUAUUUUGUUGGUUUUCGGAAUCCCCGAGGUAAUGAUCAAUAGGGACAGACGGGGGCAUUCGUAUUGCGACGUUAGAGGUGAAAUUCUUGGAUCGUCGCAAGACGGACCGAAGCGAAAGCAUUUGCCAAGAAUGUUUUCUCUGAUCAAGAACGAAAGUUAGAGGUUCGAAGGCGAUCAGAUACCGCCCUAGUUCUAACCAUAAACGAUGCCAGCCAGCAAUCCGCCGAAGUUCCUCCGAUGACUCGGCGGGCGGCUUCCGGGAAACCAAAGCUUUUGGGUUCCGGGGGAAGUAUGGUUGCAAAGCUGAAACUUAAAGGAAUUGACGGAAGGGCACCACCAGGAGUGGAGCCUGCGGCUUAAUUUGACUCAACACGGGAAACCUCACCAGGCCCGGACACCGGGAGGAUUGACAGAUUGAGAGCUCUUUCUUGAUUCGGUGGGUGGUGGUGCAUGGCCGUUCUUAGUUGGUGGAGCGAUUUGUCUGG
rnacentral:rRNA from 1 species